ensembl:lncRNA
CUCGCUCAGGUUCUCUAACAGAUGCUUCCAGAGAGAAAGAGAGAGCUUUUCCUCUUCUCUUCUCUCCUGUCCUUUUUUUAGCUCCGUGCACAGCAAGUGAGUGUGUGAGCGGCAUUAAUCGGACUAAUUAGGCACCCUAGUUAGCUGUGGUGGCUUUUGACACAGGAGGAGAAGGGCCAUGACUCCCCCCCCCACCCACUCUCCCCCCACCCCCGAGAAAGCUCAUUUUUUUUUAUCACCUCUCUCUCUCUUUCUCUCUCUCUCUCAGACACAAACACACACACACACUUGGGGAGGUGGGCGGAGGAUGCAGGGGCAGCCAUGAUGCACGGUGGGGGGAGCGCUGCAGAGAGAGAGAGAGCGAGAGAGAGAGAGAGAGAGAGAGAGAGAGAGAGAGAGAGAGAGAGAGAGAGAUAGAGGAGGGGGGCGGCAGGGAGAGAGAGAGAGAGAGAGAGAGAGAGAGAUACGCAAGCCCAGUACACUCUGACAUUAACACACCCAGAGGAAGCAGCAGUACAAACGAGGAGAGAGGAAAGGAAUAUCCUCAUCCAUCAGGCAAGAUGCUGUGGAGAAUAAACUAACACAGGAAACAGAAGUGAGUGAGAGGGGGAAGAGGUGUCAGCUUCUCGAGCGGGAGGUUAAGAACAAGAUCUCAGCAUGCCAGAGUUUACUGUCCAGUUUCGAUGAGCCUGUGCCCACUAUAUCCUGAUGUAGCCCAACCAACUCAAGGUUCUACGUGUUGUGCACUCUGAAAUGCUUUUCUGCUCACCAUGGUUGUAAAGAGUGGUUAAACAGUGGUAUAUUGGCAUGAAUGUUACAUGACGUUGUUGCAAGAGCGAGUACAGAAUGAACAGAUUGUUAAAAAAAUAUCUUUGGGAGUACAACACAAACGCAUCACUUCAUUAACACUUACAAUCACAAAUCAGAGUAAAUAAACAAACAAACAAAUAAACAAACACAACUGGAAAUAACUAAACUAAAUUUAAUAAGGAGCAAACAAAAUAUGUAACUCUCUCUCUUUCUCUCUCUGAUACACACACACACCUUUUUAUAUACUCUCCUUUCCUUCAAAAUCGUGUUCAUAUAUUUGUGUCCCAUUGAAAAGCUUUUGUAAAUUUAAGUUUGCAGUGGAACUUUUCAUCCAGUUCACUUUCCUUCCAUUUUACUUCUACUUCAAUUUCUGCAACAGUUCUGCCUUUAAACUUUGAGAGGCGGGGCCUAAGGGGCGGGGCAUAGGACAUUAUUGUAUAAAUUAGUGAUUCUGAAUGUCCAGUAUGGGCGCUGCUUUAACUUUUGAGUACGCGUCGAAAUGGUGAUGUUUUAUUUAUGUUUGUUUACGUCAUUGAAAAACUGAGCAUGGCUCUGAGGCAGAAAUGUACACAAAAAAAUUUUGGGUGACACACACUUCCAUUAGCUUCUUAGCAUAGCUCCAGUGUAAAAUGAAAUAAUUAAAUGUCAGAUGACAAGCAUAUCUCGGCAGCUCCACCACAUUUGGACUAGGUUGUAACUUUUAUUUCUGAACUAUACUUUGAAGUAUUUGGUGGUCUGAUGAGAUGGAACAUGAUGUCCUGAAGGUUCCCAGCUGCAUUCUCACAAAUAAACGUCCUCACAGGAGACUUGUGCCAGGCCAUGUUGUGUUCAGUGUCCCAGUGUACAGAAGCUGUCAUGUCGGUGCUGAUGCGCUUUGACAUAUGAAGCAGCCAGGAGGAGACUGAACGCUUAGUCAGAUCCCAACGACAGCAAGUGGCUUUAAAAGUGGCUCCAUAAAAACUCCUGUAAAACUGUGCUCCGUUCUUCGGUUUUACAGUUUAGCAAAUGAAUGCUUCAGUAAUAGCAGAGUCAUACACCGAUAUUUGGUGUUCGUUUUUCUCUCAGGUUAAUUUAGGAUAGGUUCUAAUCAGGACAAUCAAAGCUACAUAAUAUCAGACAGUCAGACACAUAUUUCAGUUAUCAGUGUUCCAUUUAAAUUACAAGAAUUAUCUCGCUGUAAAAGUUUUGUCUUGAUUCUUAAUUUUCUCUUUAUAACAGAUGAGGGAGUCGAGCCUGAGGCAGCGUCAGCAAAGUCACCACCAACAAAGGGUUAAAAUGGUACAACACAUUGUAGGGGUGUUACAGUGUACUUUAGAUGUGUCUUUAAAUGUGACUUUUAUGUGCCACAGCUCAGGAAAACGUUUUAGCAUUUACCAUUAAAAUGAUUUCGCCUAGUAUGUGUAAUGUUAUGGAACCUCACACCUUGAUCUUGUAUGAUUCUUUCUUGUUUACUUCCCUUUUUUAAAUGAUUUUUUUUUUCUUUUUAAUUUUCAUAUUCAUUAUUAUUUUAAGCGCUGUGAACUACAUGGUGUAUGAUGUGGUGCUUUAUAAAUAAAAUCUUAAAGAUUAUCUUUCUCUUCUAUCUUAAAGAUAUGUCUUCUCUGAUUGAAGCAAGAUGUCUCCAUUCAAUUCAAACAGAGUUAAAAUACGUUGGUACGGAAUGUGACUUAGAGAGCAUUUGAGUAAAAGACUAAGUUGGAAUUAUAGCCAAAUACAUUUUUAUUUGACAAGUAAAAUUGUCGUAUAAUAUGCGUGUUAAUAAUGUUUCUGUAAAAUAUACAGCAUUCAGAGCCAAAGAAAAAGACGAGUACUACAGUAUAUUGUUAUGUUCUCCUUUCUGUGU